rnacentral:tRNA from 2 species
GGUGAGGUGUCCGAGUGGUUUAAGGAGACGGUCUUGAAAACCGUUGUACGGGAAACCGUACCGUGAGUUCGAAUCUCACCCUCACCGCCA